AGAGUUUGAUCAUGGCUCAGAUUGAACGCUGGCGGCAGGCCUAACACAUGCAAGUCGAGCGGUAGCACAGAGAGCUUGCUCUCGGGUGACGAGCGGCGGACGGGUGAGUAAUGUCUGGGAAACUGCCUGAUGGAGGGGGAUAACUACUGGAAACGGUAGCUAAUACCGCAUAACGUCGCAAGACCAAAGUGGGGGACCUUCGGGCCUCAUGCCAUCAGAUGUGCCCAGAUGGGAUUAGCUAGUAGGUGGGGUAACGGCUCACCUAGGCGACGAUCCCUAGCUGGUCUGAGAGGAUGACCAGCCACACUGGAACUGAGACACGGUCCAGACUCCUACGGGAGGCAGCAGUGGGGAAUAUUGCACAAUGGGCGCAAGCCUGAUGCAGCCAUGCCGCGUGUGUGAAGAAGGCCUUCGGGUUGUAAAGCACUUUCAGCGGGGAGGAAGGCGGUGAGGUUAAUAACCUCAUCGAUUGACGUUACCCGCAGAAGAAGCACCGGCUAACUCCGUGCCAGCAGCCGCGGUAAUACGGAGGGUGCAAGCGUUAAUCGGAAUUACUGGGCGUAAAGCGCACGCAGGCGGCCUGUCAAGUCGGAUGUGAAAUCCCCGGGCUCAACCUGGGAACUGCAUUCGAAACUGGCAGGCUAGAGUCUUGUAGAGGGGGGUAGAAUUCCAGGUGUAGCGGUGAAUGCGUAGAGAUCUGGAGGAAUACCGGUGGCGAAGGCGGCCCCCUGGACAAAGACUGACGCUCAGGUGCGAAAGC
rnacentral:rRNA from 1 species